GGAAGGAUCAUUACACAACUAGUCGUUCGCGGCAGGGCAACCUGUUCGCGAUGUAAGCUCACUAGUCACCCUUGAAUAAACUACCUUUGUUGCUUUGGCGGGCCGCCGCAAGGCCAGCGGCUCCGGCUGCUGUGCGCCCGCCAGAGGACCCCAACUCUUGUUUUUAGUGAAGUCUGAGUACUAUAUAAUAGUUAAAACUUUCAACAACGGAUCUCUUGGUUCUGGCAUCGAUGAAGAACGCAGCGAAAUGCGAUAAGUAAUGUGAAUUGCAGAAUUCAGUGAAUCACCGAAUCUUUGAACGCACAUUGCGCCCUUCGGUAUUCCGUAGGGCAUGCCUGUUCGAGCGUCAUUAUAACCACUCACGCUCUCGCGUGGUCUUGGGGAUCGCGGCUCCGCGGCCCUUAAAAUCAGUGGCGGUGCCUAUCGGCUCUACGCGUAGUAAUACUCCUCGCGAUUGGGUCCGGUAGGUUGCUUGCCAGCAACCCCUAUUUUUACAGGUUGACCUCGGAUCAGGUAGGGAUACCCGCUGAACUUAAGCAUAUCAAUAAGCGGAGGAAAAGAAACCAACAGGGAUUACCUCAGUAACGGCGAGUGAAGCGGUAACAGCUCAAAUUUGAAAGCUAGCUCUUUUAGGGUUCGCAUUGUAAUUUGUAGAAGAUGCUUCGGGUGUGGCCCCGGUCUAAGUUCCUUGGAACAGGACGUCAUAGAGGGUGAGAAUCCCGUAUGUGACUGGGUGCUUUCGCUCAUGUGAAGCUCUUUCAACGAGUCGAGUUGUUUGGGAAUGCAGCUCAAAAUGGGUGGUAAAUUUCAUCUAAAGCUAAAUAUUGGCCAGAGACCGAUAGCGCACAAGUAGAGUGAUCGAAAGAUGAAAAGCACUUUGGAAAGAGAGUUAAACAGUACGUGAAAUUGUUGAAAGGGAAGCGCUUGCAACCAGACUUGCGCGCUGAUGAUCAUCCGGGCUUCUGCCCGGUGCACUCGUCUGCGCUCAGGCCAGCAUCGGUUUCGGUGGUGGGAUAAAGGCCUUGGGAAUGUAGCUUCUUUCGGGGAGUGUUAUAGCCCUCGGUGCAAUGCCGCCUACCGGGACCGAGGACCGCGCUUCGGCUAGGAUGCUGGCGUAAUGGUUGUAAGCGACCCGUCUUGAAACACGGACCAAGGAGUCUAACAUCUAUGCGAGUGUUUGGGUGUCAAACCCAUACGCGUAAUGAAAGUGAACGGAGGUGAGAACCCUUAAGGGUGCAUCAUCGACCGAUCCUGAUGUCUUCGGAUGGAUUUGAGUAAGAGCAUAGCUGUUGGGACCCGAAAGAUGGUGAACUAUGCGUGAAUAGGGUGAAGCCAGAGGAAACUCUGGUGGAGGCUCGCAGCGGUUCUGACGUGCAAAUCGAUCGUCAAAUUUGCGUAUAGGGGCGAAAGACUAAUCGAACCAUUGUUGCUAGGUGGUUAAGAGGGGCCUAAUAGCGUACACCUAGUCCUAUGUCAUAUGGCAACAUUAUCAAAUUGUUCGGGGACGUCUCGUUAAAUGUCAGGCUACCGCCCCCGCGUCGAAAGGCGCGGUGUGGCACCAGGGUAACGACCUCGGGUAUGGUAACAACGCCUGGCUGGAGACAAUCCGCAGCCAACUCCUAAGGGCCGCCAGGCCUAUGGAUGCAGUUCACAGACUAAAUGGUAAUGGGCUUUAGCGAUAAAGUCUAAGUUAUAGUCGAACCGCCGGGAGACCGGGCGGCAAGAGCGAUUCCCCGCGGAUGACAACCUGUCCCCAGGUCCGCGGGCAUGAGUGCUUGCCGGGGGCUACAGCCCUGGGUUAAUUGCUAGUAGCUGGUUCCUGC
rnacentral:misc_RNA from 1 species